UGAACCGCAAGCUCAUCGUGCUCCAUGGCGGGCCGCGGAGGCCGGUGGCCGCUGAGGCCGGGGAGCCCCGCGUGUCCUCCGGCUCCUCCAGGUGCAACAAAACCUAUCUCUUUUGAAGGUGCUUGAGCAAAUGUUUUCCAAAACCUUGUCAUGGAAAGUGACUGAAACAAGCUACCAGGACUAUGAUUGCCAAUAACAAGCAUGUAGGUAUGCUGCAGUGAAUGUCCAGCUUUGGGAGCUGUGGUGUUUAAAAACCCUUCAUCGUUUGGUGCAGCACACAUUUUGGAGUAUAAAAUGAAGACUUGGCCAAGAAACCUUGAACAGAAGCAAAUGGUGAAAUUAGUAUUUAAUUUGAUAUUAAUAAAUGUUAUAUAAAAAUAAUUUUAAUUGCUGUGGACAGUAAUUUCUUUAAAAUGCAUGUCUUUAAAAUGUCAUUCUCAUAAAAUAAACUCAU